GACGAACGCUGGCGGCGUGCUUAACACAUGCAAGUCGAACGGAAAGGCCCUGCUUUUGUGGGGUGCUCGAGUGGCGAACGGGUGAGUAACACGUGAGUAACCUGCCCUUGACUUUGGGAUAACUUCAGGAAACUGGGGCUAAUACCGGAUAGGAGCUCCUGCUGCAUGGUGGGGGUUGGAAAGUUUCGGCGGUUGGGGAUGGACUCGCGGCUUAUCAGCUUGUUGGUGGGGUAGUGGCUUACCAAGGCUUUGACGGGUAGCCGGCCUGAGAGGGUGACCGGCCACAUUGGGACUGAGAGACGGACCAGAAUCCUACGGGAGGCAGCAGUGGGGAAUAUUGCACAAUGGGGGGAAGCCUGAUGCAGCAGCGCCGCGUGCGGGAUGACGGCCUUCGGGUUGUAAACCGCUUUCGCCUGUGACGAAGCGUGAGUGACGGUAAUGGGUAAAGAAGCACCGGCUAACUACGUG
rnacentral:rRNA from 1 species